rnacentral:pre_miRNA from 1 species
CAAGUACUCCCUCCGUCCGGAAUUACUUGUCAUCAAAAUGGAUGUGUCUAGAACUAAAAUACAUCUAGAUACAUCCAUUUCAACGACAAGUAUUUUUGGACAGAGGGAGUACAAG